rnacentral:rRNA from 1 species
AGAGUUUGAGCCUGGCUCAGACGAACGCUGGCGGCGUGCUUAACACAUGCAAGUCGAACGAGGUUAUAUUCCGGAAGGCUUCGGCUGGAAGGGAGAUAACCGAGUGGCGGACGGGUGAGAAAGGCGUGAGGAACCUGUCUUCUACAGGGGGAUAACGGUCCGAAAGGAUUGCUAAUACCGCAUAAGACCACACCGGCGCAUGCCGGAGGGGUCAAAGGAGAAAUCCGGUAGAAGGUGGACUCGCGUCCCAUUAGAUAGUUGGUGAGGUAACGGCCCACCAAGUCGACGAUGGGUAGCCGACCUGAGAGGGUGAUCGGCCACAUUGGAACUGAGAUACGGUCCAGACUCCUACGGGAGGCAGCAGUGGGGAAUAUUGGGCAAUGGGCGAAAGCCUGACCCCUCCUUUGCCGCGUGAGGGAAGAAGGUCUUCGGGAUGAAAGGCUGUGUCCUUGGUGAAAAGGAAGGAUGGUAGCCAAGGAGGAAGCUCCGGCUAACUACGUGCCAGCAGCCGCGGUAAUACGUAGGGAGCGAGCGUUGUCCGGAAUGAUUGGGCGUAAAGGGCGUGUAGGCAGCCUGUUAAGUCUGAAGUGAAAUCCCUGGUUUCAAGUCAGGGUCUGCUUUGGAAACUGGCGGGCUUGAGUGCAGGAGAGGCUAUCGGAAUUCCCGGUGUAGCGGUGAAAUGCGUAGAGAUCGGGAGGAACACCAGUGGCGAAGGCGGGUAGCUGGACUGUAACUGACGCUGAGGCGCGAAAGUGUGGGGAGCAAACAGGAUUAGAUACCCUGGUAGUCCACACUGUAAACGAUGAAUGCUAGGUGUAGGGGGUAUCGACCCCUUCUGUGCCGCAGUAAACACAAUAAGCAUUCCGCCUGGGGAGUACGGCCGCAAGGUUGAAACUCAAAGGAAUUGACGGGGGCCCGCACAAGCAGCGGAGCAUGUGGUUUAAUUCGACGCAACGCGAAGAACCUUACCAGGUCUUGACAUCCAAUAAAAGCUGCAGAGAUGCAGUGUGAGCUUGCUCGUAUUGAGACAGGUGGUGCAUGGUUGUCGUCAGCUCGUGUCGUGAGAUGUUGGGUUAAGUCCCGCAACGAGCGCAACCCUUGUUUACAGUUACUAACGUGUCAUGGCGAGGACUCUGUAGAGACUGCCGGGGACAACUCGGAGGAAGGUGGGGACGACGUCAAAUCAUCAUGCCCCUUAUGACCUGGGCUACACACGUGCUACAAUGGCCGUCACAAAGAGGAGCGAGUCCGUAAGGAUAAGCAGAUCUCAAAAAAGCGGUCUCAGUUCGGAUUGUGGGCUGCAACCCGCCCACAUGAAGUCGGAGUUGCUAGUAAUCGCGGAUCAGCAUGCCGCGGUGAAUACGUUCCCGGGCCUUGUACACACCGCCCGUCACACCAUGGGAGUUGAUAGCACCCGAAAGUUGUGAGGUUACCCCAAGGGGCCAGCAACCUAAGGUGAGAUGAAUGACUUCCCAAAGUCGUAACAAGGUAACC